CUAGUCCAGCCCUCGCCUCUCCAGCACUCAAGGAGGGAGGGUUUUGGUUGGAAAGACAUGACUCGCAGUUCAGUGUGAAAGCUGCAGCUAUCCGGCAAAACGAAACGUUUAUUUUUAUUUUAUUGCUACAAUUUAUCAAACGGGAUUGAUAUUUGCUGGCAAUUCUUUUUGGCAAAAUGGCUGUGGAAAUGAGGCUCUACUCUGAGGCGAGUGGGCGGUCCGAGGGUGACGAUGACUGCCAACAAAAGUUCCAAGGCUGCACCCCGAGCAAGAGGGGCUAAUGUGCCCCGGGACAUCCCCGACAGGUGCCAGUCUGCGUCCCC